rnacentral:rRNA from 1 species
GUCGUAACAAGGUCUCCGUUGGUGAACCAGCGGAGGGAUCAUUACCGAGUUUACAACUCCCAAACCCCUGUGAACAUACCACUUGUUGCCUCGGCGGAUCAGCCCGCUCCCGGUAAAACGGGACGGCCCGCCAGAGGACCCCUAAACUCUGUUUCUAUAUGUAACUUCUGAGUAAAACCAUAAAUAAAUCAAAACUUUCAACAACGGAUCUCUUGGUUCUGGCAUCGAUGAAGAACGCAGCAAAAUGCGAUAAGUAAUGUGAAUUGCAGAAUUCAGUGAAUCAUCGAAUCUUUGAACGCACAUUGCGCCCGCCAGUAUUCUGGCGGGCAUGCCUGUUCGAGCGUCAUUUCAACCCUCAAGCACAGCUUGGUGUUGGGACUCGCGUUAAUUCGCGUUCCUCAAAUUGAUUGGCGGUCACGUCGAGCUUCCAUAGCGUAGUAGUAAAACCCUCGUUACUGGUAAUCGUCGCGGCCACGCCGUUAAACCCCAACUUCUGAAUGUUGACCUCGGAUCAGGUAGGAAUACCCGCUG